ACGACACAGGUAGAUGCUGGUGCCAUCCAAAGCCUGAGCGUUGAGACCAAGAGCUCGCUGGUGAUGAUGGAAAAGAAGAUUGCAAACAUGAACAACUCGAUGCCUGCUUCUCUCGACUCUACAGUUUCGAUGGCCGUGCAGGAGCAGCUCGGCAGGGCCAUAGCUCCAGUCGAAGACCGUGUUGCAAGCCUGCACAACGUCGUGCGCCAGAGCGUCGAGCCUUUGGAUUCAAAAUUCAGCAAGCUCCAGACGCAGCUGAGGGAGACGCAGGACAAGGUGGAGAGUCUGAAGAUGAAAAGCGAGAUGUCCAGCCGCCAGACAGGCGC
rnacentral:ribozyme from 1 species